AUACGUAGGGUGCAAGCGUUAAUCGGAAUUACUGGGCGUAAAGCGUGCGCAGGCGGUUCGGAAAGAAGGAUGUGAAAUCCCAGGGCUCAACCUUGGAACUGCAUUCUUAACUACCGAACUAGAGUAUGUCAGAGGGGGGUAGAAUUCCGCGUGUAGCAGUGAAAUGCGUAGAUAUGCGGAGGAAUACCGAUGGCGAAGGCAGCCCCCUGGGAUAAUACUGACGCUCAUGCACGAAAGCGUGGGUAGCAAACAGGAUUAGAUACCCUGGUAGUCCACGCCCUAAACGAUGUCAACUAGCUGUUGGGCCCUUCGGGGCUUAGUAGCGUAGCUAACGCGUGAAGUUGACCGCCUGGGGAGUACGGUCGCAAGAUUAAAACUUAAAGGAAUUGACGGGG
rnacentral:rRNA from 1 species